GAUGAACGCUGGCGGCGUGCCUAAUACAUGCAAGUAGAACGCUGAAGCUUGGUGCUUGCACCGAGCGGAUGAGUUGCGAACGGGUGAGUAACGCGUAGGUAACCUGCCUGGUAGCGGGGGAUAACUAUUGGAAACGAUAGCUAAUACCGCAUAACAGUCGACAUUGCAUGAUGUUGAUUUGAAAGGGGCAAUUGCUCCACUACCAGAUGGACCUGCGUUGUAUUAGCUAGUUGGUGAGGUAACGGCUCACCAAGGCGACGAUACAUAGCCGACCUGAGGGGGUGAUCGGCCACACUGGGACUGAGACACGGCCCAGACUCCUACGGGAGGCAGCAGUAGGGAAUCUUCGGCAAUGGACGGAAGUCUGACCGAGCAACGCCGCGUGAGUGAAGAAGGUUUUCGGAUCGUAAAGCUCUGUUGUAAGAGAAGAACGAGUGUGAGAGUGGAAAGUUCACACUGUGACGGAACUACCAGA
rnacentral:rRNA from 1 species